UCCUGAUUGAUAAACAUUUGAGUGAGUGGCGGACGGGUGAGUAACACGUGGGUAACCUGCCCUAAAGUGGGGGAUAACAUUUGGAAACAGAUGCUAAUACCGCAUAAAACCUAACACCGCAUGGUGUAGGGUUGAAAGAUGGUUUCGGCUAUCACUUUAGGAUGGACCCGCGGUGCAUUAGUUAGUUGGUGAGGUAAAGGCUCACCAAGACCGUGAUGCAUAGCCGACCUGAGAGGGUAAUCGGCCACACUGGGACUGAGACACGGCCCAGACUCCUACGGGAGGCAGCAGUAGGGAAUCUUCCACAAUGGAUGAAAGUCUGAUGGAGCAACGCCGCGUGAGUGAAGAAGGUUUUCGGAUCGUAAACUCUGUUGUCGGAGAAGAAUGUAUCUGAUAGUAACUGAUCAGGUAGUGACGGUAUCCAACCAGAAAGCCACGGCUAACUACGUG
rnacentral:rRNA from 1 species